GACGAACGCUGGCGGCGUGCCUAAUACAUGCAAGUAGAACGCUGAAGAGAGGAGCUUCCUCUUCUUGGAUGAGUUGCGAACGGGUGAGUAACGCGUAGGUAACCUGCCUUGUAGCGGGGGGUAACUAUUGGAAACGAUAGCUAAUACCGCAUAACAAUGGAUGACACAUGUCAUUUCUUUGCAAGGGGCAAUUGCUCCACUACAAGAUGAACCUGCGGUGUAUUUGCUAGUAGGUGAGGUAAUGGCUCACCUAGGCGACGAUACAUAGCCGAACUGAGAGGGGGAGCUGACACACAGUGAAUGUGACACGGCGCAGACUCCUACGGGAGGGAGCAGUAGGGAAUCUUCGGCAAUGGGGGCAAACCUGAGCGCGCAACGCCGCGUGAGUGAAGAAGGUUUUCGGGUCGUAAAGCUCUGUUGUAAGUCAAGAAAGGGGGUGAGAGUGGAAAGUUCACAGUGUGACGGUAGCUUACCAGAAAGGGACGGCUAACUACGUG
rnacentral:rRNA from 1 species